rnacentral:rRNA from 1 species
UUUUGCCUACGGGACGCAGCAGUAGGGAAUCUUCCACAAUGGGCGAAAGCCUGAUGGAGCAACGCCGCGUGGGUGAAGAAGGUCUUCGGGUCGUAAAACCCUGUUGUUAGAGAAGAAAGUGCGUGAGAGUAACUGUUCACGUUUCGACGGUAUCUAACCAGAAAGCCACGGCUAACUACGUGCCAGCAGCCGCGGUAAUACGUAGGUGGCAAGCGUUAUCCAGAUUUAUUGGGCGUAAAGGGAACGCAGGCGGUCUUUUAAGUCUGAUGUGAAAGCCUUCGGCUUAACCGGAGUAGUGCAUUGGG